GGAGAGGUGACAGAGUGGCCGAAUGUGGCGGUCUUGAAAACCGCUGUACGUCUGACGUACCGGGGGUUCGAAUCCCUUCCUCUCCG
rnacentral:tRNA from 2 species